CCUACGGGUGACAGCAGUCGAGAAUCAUUCACAAUGGGCGCAACCCUGAUGCUGCGACGCCGCGUGGGGGAAUGAAGGUCUUCGGAUUGUAAACCCCUGUCAUGUGGGAGCAAAUUAAAAAGAUAGUACCACAAGAGGAAGAGACGGCUAACUCUGUGCCAGCAACCGCGGUAAUACAGAGGUCUCAAGCGGUGUUCGGAAGCACUGGGCGUAAAGCGUGCGUAGGUUGUUUCGUAAGUCUGGUGUGAAAGGGUCGGGCUCAACCCGCGGACGGCACAUGAUACUGCGAGACUAGAGUAAUGGAGGGGGAACCGGAAUUCGCGGUGUAGCAGUGAAAUGCGUAGAUAUCGAGAGGAACACUGGUGGCGAAGGCGGGUUCCUGGACAGUAACUGACGCUGAGGCACGAAGGCCAGGGGAGCGAAAGGGAUUAGAUACCCCUGUAGUC
rnacentral:rRNA from 1 species